GCCAGGCAUGGUGGCGCAUGCCUGUAGUCCCAGCUACUCGGGAGGCUGAGGCAGGAGAAUCACUUGAACCUGGGAGAUGGAGGUUGCAGUGAGCUGAGAUCGCACAACAGCACUCCAGCCUGGGUGACAGAGUGAGAUCCUGUUUCAA
ensembl:misc_RNA Metazoa_SRP Metazoan signal recognition particle RNA